UGCAAAUUCUCUUAACUUAAUCUUUCAAAAGAUAUAGAGUUUGAGUUCUAAGUCAAGUGAUGGGUUGGUUAAUGGAUCAAUUGAUAAAUUUUAGGUAGAAGUCAUCAGGGUUGGGUUACCCAGAAGCAUAAUUUGCCUCUUAACAUGACUUUGUAGUCUCUUUUGAAAGUUUUUCCUCCAAAUGGGUCUCAAUUAACCUAAGUAGGAUGAUCGAUUGACCUUUUAUCAUCAGAUAUGCUACAGAUAUAUUCAAUGUUCUUGAGAAUUGGCCUUCACACAUCAUAAGCUUUUUACAGAUUUAUGCAUUUAUUUGGAAUUUCACAUCCUGCUAUUGUGAUAACAAAAUCAUUUUCUUUGUUUUGGACGUGUUGGGUAUUUAAGACAUACUUCGGCUAAUGUUCACCCGUUUUAGCCCGUUUUUUAAGUUAUCAGUAUUCUUUAUUUAAUCCGCUAGAAUAGUUAAAGAGGCAAUACCCAAAUGCACUCAUACACAGGUAUCUUUGUUUUGCCCAUAUCUACUUUAAUGGCUUAGCUGCGAGUAUAGGAGUUGAUGUGAAUACAAUUAAUGAGUUUUGAUCAAUUUCUUAAAGUAAUUUUUUUGACGGACUUUGUACCUGCUCUUUCUUUCCAUGCUUGAUUAUCAAAUGUGCCGGUUGUAAGAGAUACAAUCUGCUGGUUUUGUGUUGCUAGCUUCCUUUGAAACAUGUGAAAUUAUGAUUGUGUACCAAGUUGGACGGGGUGAGGUUGCUUGUCUGGAUUUCAAAGCAUGGAAAAGAGAAUUUAGGAUGUCAUGGUCUGAGUAGAAAGUCAGUACCCUUUCAUGUGGACAGUUUGUAGGUUGGGCUAUUACAAAAUAGAUUUCGUAUGCGGUGGGGUGUACUGUCACCAACAAAAUGAUGGUGUGAUUAUGCAUGGAAAGAGCUCUACAUCAUGUUCGAAGAUUACUACAUUCAAAUGCAAGUAAUCAAUAGAAGCCACACUCUUCUUAUCAAGAUCAGUUUCAUGACCAGUUUGGCUGUAAACCGACAUUAAUCGGUCAAAUAGAGUUGAAGUUUCAGCUUCACGCAACGAACAUUAGGGUAAAUUGAUAUGUGCCAAUCUAUGUAUGGUUCGAUAUAUAGCAAAACAGUACAGGGGACGUGGCCUCACCUUCAGGACCUUUUGCAGGUCAACUUAAUACGUCAAACUUUGAUUUUGAUGUGGCUAAAUGUAUUAAAAGAUAGCUGCUUUGGUUAUUUCUAACGUUUGAAACCUGAAAUAACCGUCAGAGUGACCAAAAUUUAAUUUUAAGAUGCUAUGUUGGUCCUUUGUCUGGAAAAGAAGUGAUUUUGGUCAAAAGUUACUUACACAUUAGCUGCCACGCCAUAAUUUAACCACUCACUGAAUUAGAUUGCCGUGAAUAACUUUAUUGGAAAACUGGUUUCCUGCUGAAAUAGUUGGUUAUUGCAACUCCAGGAAAAUUUUUAAAGUGCCAAAAGGUUAGAUUUCCUUGCAGCCCUGCAGCCCUUUUAGCUAUACAUGUGCUAAAGUUUAAAGCUGUUUGUGUUUAGGUCAGUGCAAAAUGGCAGCCACAAGAAUCCCGUGUGUAAAAUCUUGAGGCUCCUGUAUCUUCCCCGACUGAAUAGGCAUGUUGCAUCUCCUGGUGAUAGCCCAAAAAUAGAUGGGAUUCAUUUACAUAAUCUAAGGAUGUGCUGGUCCACACCACCGACCUCUCAUGUGGACAUGUGGAAAUGGCAGUGUUUUUAUACCAACCGACUGUUGAAACAUACACAUACAUAAUGUAAAGUGUGGAGCGGGUCAUGGUACAAGUACCGGUAGUUUAGGAAAGGAUGAAACAUUGUGCUAUAAUCGACCUAACCUAUAACUCUGCGAAAACUGUAUAGUCGUUUUAUGAUAACGUUGGAACUUUUCAAAAGUACCAUGCGGAAAUAGAUCUACUCUCUAGCCUUGAGUCGGGUUUUCA